AAAUCAUGGUGUGGGCACUUCCUAAGCAUUUCCUUAAAUUUCUCCCAAAAUUUAUAUAUUUAUACUCCAUAUAAUGAGUGAAUGAAGUGAUGUCAUUACUAAAUUU